AUUGAACGCUGGCGGCAGGCCUAACACAUGCACGUCGAACGAGUGGCGGACGGGUGAGUAAUGUCUGGGAAACUACCUGCUGGAGGGGGCUCACUACUGGAAACGGUAGCUAAUACCGCAUACCAUCAGAUGUGCCCAGAUGGGCUUAGCUAGUUGGUGGGGUAACGGCUCACCAAGGCAACGAUCCCUAGCUGGUCUGGGAGGAUGACCAGCAACACGGGAACUGAGACAAGGUCCAGACUACGACGGGAGGCAGCAGUGGGGAAUAGGGCACAAUGGGCGCAAGCCUGAGGAAGCCAUGCCGCGUGUAUGAAGAAGGCCGUCGGGUUGUAAAGUACUUUCAGAGGGGAGGCGUUACCCGCAGAAGAAGCACCGGCUAACUACGUGCCAGCAGCCGCGGUAAUUC
rnacentral:rRNA from 1 species